GAUAUCUUUAAUUGAAGAAAAAGCUCAGUAUUUAAUUUUAACAGACACCCCCAGACUUCUGUUGGUUUUCCAGGAAGGAAAGAAUACUUAACAAUUAGCACAACUGUUCAACAUUUCUUGUGAAUGCACAAUCAUAUAAAAAUAUAUUUCACUGUCAUGUGCAUAAUUUUUUUUUCUCACUCAGUAGAACUGUCUUCUUUGCUCGUUUUCCUUGGUUUCUUAUACAUAUUACAUGUUGGAGUGCUCGAUCCACAUAAGAAAUUUGGAUAAAGUAUAUACUUUGCAUUAUAUGAAGUACUGCGCAGGCAUCUUGCUAUAUCUUUGUCACACUUGCACGUCAGUUUUUGGCAUCUGUCCUCUAACACAUCUGAAAGACAAAAGUAGUUUCCAUUGAGAACAUCAAUUUUAUUGGGAAUAGUUUUACAUCUGACCUGCUUCUUUAUUGAAAUACUUCAAAUGCUGUUACUGUUAUCAGAAAUCCUAUCAACUAAUAGUGUAGACAC